UACGAAGGGGGCUAGCGUUGCUCGGAAUCACUGGGCGUAAAGCGCACGUAGGCGGAUCGUUAAGUCAGGGGUGAAAUCUUGGAGCUCAACUCCAGAACUGCCUUUGAUACUGGCGAUCUUGAGUUCGAGAGAGGUGAGUGGAACUGCGAGUGUAGAGGUGAAAUUCGUAGAUAUUCGCAAGAACACCAGUGGCGAAGGCGGCCCGCUGGGCAGUGGCUGACGCUGAGGCGCGACAGCGUGGGGAGCAAACAGG
rnacentral:rRNA from 1 species